GAUGAACGCUGGCGGCGUGCCUUAUACAUGCAAGUCGAGUGGGUUUAGACCCACGGCAAACGGGUGAGUAACACGUAGGUACUUUCCUUGUCACAGGAAUAACCCUCCGAAAGGAGGGCUAAUACCUGAUGUGAUCGCAAGAUUAAAGGGUAUCCGCAAGGAUUACCGGACAAGAAGAGGCCUGCGGCCUAUCAGCUAGUUGGCGGGGUAAAUGCCCACCAAGGCUAUGACGGGUAGCUGGUCUUAUGAGGAUGAUCAGUCACAUGGGCACUGAGACACGGGCCCAACUCCUACGGGAGGCAGCAGUAGGGAAUUUUGCGCAAUGGGCGGAAGCCUGACGCAGCGACGCCGCGUGCGGGAUGAAGGCCUUCGGGUCGUAAACCGCUUUUAUAAGGGACGAACUUUGACGGUACCUUAUGAAUAAGAGGUUGCUAACUCUGUG
rnacentral:rRNA from 1 species